rnacentral:tRNA from 2 species
GGAGAGGUCGCAUAGUGGUUUAGUGCACCGGUCUUGAAAACCGGAGUCCAUGCAAGUGGACCGAGGGUUCGAAUCCCUCCCUCUCCG